rnacentral:lncRNA from 1 species
CUUUGGCUCCCCUGAGAUGCCAAAUAGCCGCUCACUCUUCCGCCUCCACGGACUGGCUUUGGUGUUCAUGCUGGUUGGGGAUGUCUACUAUGGACCUGCUGAGCACAGGGCUGGGUUCCUGGGGCACAGAGUUGAUGCUUAUGGCCCAGGAACUGCUGGGCCCCAGGACUGGGCGGUUUCCAUGGUUGCUGCCACAGAAGCAGCAUUGCUGGAGUCAGUAGUGUGGCUGCCUUGCCAUGGCCGUGGUGGGUCUGCCUGGGGGUAUCUCAAUCCCGCAGAGUGCCAGGCAACCACUCCAGCCUGCUGUUGAAGGCCCCUGGCCACCCCUGGGUAAGUAAAAGAUGUCAUUUGGCGGUGUGGCAGCGAAGGGGGAGCCAGGCAGAGUACGAGCAAGAAGGUAGUGGCAGGGGGUCGAGGAGGGUGCUAGAAACUGAGUCUGAGGUUCUUAGAUUGGCUCUGCUCUGUGACCUGAAGAAAGCCGCACAACCUCUCUGAGCUUUGAUUUCCUCGUGUGAAACGAGGCUAGCAAUUGUGCAGGAGACAGUGUCUCCAGAUGAGUGCUCUGUAAAUUGAUAACAUGUCAUAAGACUUCUGCAAUUAUGUUAUUUAGCAGUCAAAAUUGGCUAACGGUUUCCGUAGGACUUUUAAGUGAAACUAUAAAGGCAGUGGCAAUUGAGUAAAGAGUUCCCCGUGGUUUUUGACUGUUUCAAGCUAUUACCUAUUAUUUGCACAGAGUUCCAGAAGUUUAAGAGACACACACAAAAUUAUCCAACCCAGAAGAAGAGUGCACUUCCAGGGACAAUUUAAGCAUUCAGCUGGUAGCAGUAAAGCACCUGCUGCAAGCCAAGUGCGUGGAUAGGAGCUGUGGUUACAACCCUGGAUGGGCCAGACAUUAUCCUCCUCUCACGGUGCUAGUGGUGACUGGCAAGGGAGCUGACUUCACAGCAUGAGGGCCACCUGGAAGGUAACCUGUCUCAGGUGGCAGGUUGGGGACUUGGGGCCAACCAGAUUUCUCCUCCUUUCUGUGUCUGUUCCCCUCCAUGAAAUGAAGAGUUUAAGAACCAGGGUGUUAUCUAACCACAUCACCCUGCUUCCAUAUUCAGACCCAGGGUCUGAAAGAAAUGAGAUGGAGACAAAAUGAAAGCAGAAGGUUGGAGGAAUGAAAUUCACAAUAAAACCUACAAUCUGCUCCUUGACCAAAAUGAUAGCUCAGGCACGCUGAGCACUCACUAUGGGCCAGGCGCUGUGCUAAGACCUUCACGUACUUCAUCUCACUCUGCCCUCUCAACAGCCGCAUUUUCCAGUUGACAGACUGAGGCUUGGAGAUGUCACCCUGCCCAGGGUCAAACGGCUAGUAAGUGGUAGAGCUGGGAUUCAGACCCCAGGGUGUCUGACUGUGGAGACUGCAAGGUCAGCUCUGCUCUGUUGCCUCAGCAGGUCUAUUCCUUGGAUUGAAAGAGCUCGCUGCAGUCUGAUUUCCCACAGAACAGUAGCAUGGAAAGAGUGGAGGAAGGCAGGGGAAAAUUCCCAGGCUGGUAGCUGGUGUUCUAUCUGCAAGGCUGCCUUAGCUCAAGCGGCCCCAGCCUCCGGGCAGCUGGUGGGAAGGUAAACUGCUGAAACUGAAGAUUUGCAAAACCCACCAUGCUCCAGUUAACGAGCCUCUUGGAAAACCUCUCUGAAGGUUCCUGGCAGUGUCCCUGUGGGAGCCAGCUCAUGUAUUUUAAGACAAAAAAAAAAUCAUUAAAGAAGUUAGGACUCUGGAGUGGCCGUAAAUGUAAAAUAUUGGUGGUUCGACAGUGUAUCCCUAGCAGCCGUAGGCAGAGUUCAUCUUGAUGAGCCAGAACCAUGUCCAAGAAAUGAAUCAUUUUGUUUUCCUCAGAGGGCUCCCCCUGAAUCUUCCCAGGCCGUCUGCUCCAAAGUUUUUAACUUGCCCACCUAGCUCAGGACCCACUAAGACCACGACUGCUCCUAGCCAGGAAAGGGAAUAGGGUUGGCAGAAUUGUAGAGCAAGCUGGGCCCCAAACACUUCUGGAACGGUGCCUGAGAGAUUCCAUUUUCCAGAUGGCCCCCAAGCCUUCCCUUACUUUGGUUGUUGGUAACCAUAACUGUCACACCAAAGGCACUUGUCUUCAUGACAUUCUGGAGGAGGGAGGUCAUGGCAUGUGGCACCUCUUAGGCACUCCGUGAGUGCUUGUGGAUGGUGGGGGCAAACACAUGGUUUGCAUGGUUUGGGCCUCCCACAUAUGGCACCUGCUUGUCUCUUUGGCUGAUGGGUGUCUUGGUUUCCCUUUGCCCAGCAAAGGUGGUACCACCAUCCAGCCAAUCUUUUAUUCUGCUCCCUCUUUCAUUUGGUGAACCAUAGUGAGGAUCCAGAUCUAGAGGAUUUAAAGUGUUGGGGACCCCCUGCCAGCUCAGAUCAAAUUUAAAGGUGUUGGGGACCCCCACCUGCCUCAGAUCAGAUUAAAGUCAGUGGCAGCCCAGGCCAGGAAUUGAGGCUAGAGGGGGGAUUUCCAAGGUCCCGCCCUAGCCCCCAGCUCCCACAUCCAGGGUGACUUCCAACAAACCACCUGACCCCUCCCCAUCCCCUCUUCCCAGCUUAGAGGCGGGGAGGGUGACAUUGAGCUUCGGCUCUGGGGCGUCCUAAGGGUUAACUAAUUAAUGGUCGGAAAGUGCUUUGAAAAAAUAAAGUGCUGGAUAAUGGGAAGGGCAAUUAUGUUGGGAGAAACUCCUAAUUUGGCUGGAAUUGAUGUUAAUGAUAAAGUAUCUGAAACAUGUAGCAAGCAAGCGUGAUUGUAUUUUAUAUGACAGAGAGAGACACUUACACGCAGGGGACACGGACAGCGGUUAAUUUGGUUAAAUAAAGUGAAAGAUAAAAGGAAUGCGGACACCGCAGGACUCGCUGUUUAUCCGGACUCAAUGUAACACUUUGCAAUUGGAUCGGGGCGCUUUGACUCUUAUUUAUUUGUUUGUGAUGAAAAUAAAUGGGAAAGUGCCAGUUUUAUGGCUUAAAAGGAGAUGGUAGAAAGUAGAAUCCAAGAAGGAGUCCCAGGGCUUCCGACGAGGCAGGCUCAGGCUGCGUUCCCAGGAAGGAGAACAAGGUCUCCGAGAGAGUCAAGGUGGGUGAGGACAUCCUCACUCCACCCCACCGGAGCUGGGGGAAUCUCAGAGGGCAACCAACAUAGCUCUCACCUUCCAGAGGGAGAAACUGAGACCCAGGAAAGGGAGAGGGUAUACGACUGAGUAUAGGAGCCAGCAUUAACUAAGCAAUUCUGUUCGCUAUGAUCAGAUGAGAUGUUAUGAUCCCAUUUAAUCCCUAAAGCAAGCGUAUGAGGUGGGUACCAUUUUCACUGCCAUAUUACAGAAGAAGAAACAGAAGCUCAGAGAGGUCAAGCAAGGAGCCCAAGAUCACACAGCCAGGAAGUGGUGGAGCAGGGCGUUGGGCUCGGGCAGCCUGACUCUGGGAGGAAAACUCCACGAAUGGUGACUUUGGGACUAAGCCAAUGCUCUUAAUAUUCAUGUCCCUCUUCUCCUUGACUACGUUCUGCUGAACAGGGAACCAGGAGAAGGAAGUGAGGAGACUCUUGUCCCAGUCCAGGAAAGACUGAAUGGGGCUGCCCAGGGUGAUAGGGAUGCCUGGUCUGGGACCAGAGCAAUGGCAGGGGUUUGAGCCCUAGUUUGGGGCCCCAGAGGACAGCAUGAAUUUGCCCCAAGGAAGAACAGGAGACUUGGUUUCUGGAAGGUCUGUGAGGUCCCCGCAGGUCCAUAUUAGUAUUCAGUAUUUAUAAUAUUUCCAUAAUGGUAAAACAAAAGAAAACAAGCAGAGAGAAUGCAUUUUUAAUCACCAAUCAUUUCUCUUUGUUUGUUGUGAAUGAACAGCGAGGUGAAAUAGUAUUUCAUAAUCACCCCAUUCGAAUUUUCCUCCCCACGAAGCGCCGAGAAAUCUCUAAAUAAAAUAAAUAAACAAGCCAAGACCUUAAAAUAAAUUCCAGAGGGUAAAGUGCUACGUGUGGGUUAUCACAGCUGCGGGGAGGCUGGGGCUGGGAGGUGGGGAAGGGAGGACAAAGGGCCAGGGGCCUUGUCAGUUAUCAGGAAUCGGAUCCCCCAGAUCCAGAGACUGACAAGGAAGGGCAGAAGAUCAGAGGAAUGGUUUGAAGAUCUGCAGCAGCAUGGAGCUGGAACAGACUCCCCCCUACUUCAUUUCUUCCUUCUUUUUCUUUCAG